CCUACGGGGGGCAGCAGUGGGGAAUAUUGGGCAAUGGGCGCAAGCCUGACCCAGCAACGCCGCGUGAAGGAAGAAGGCUUUCGGGUUGUAAACUUCUUUUGUCAGGGAAGAGUAGAGGACGGUACCUGACGAAUAAGCCACGGCUAACUACGUGCCAGCAGCCGCGGUAAUACGUAGGUGGCAAGCGUUGUCCGGAUGUACGGGGUGUAAAGGGCGUGUAGCCGGGUUGGCAAGUCAGAUGUGAAAUCCUGCGGCUUAACCGCAGAACUGCAUUUGAAACUGUUGGUCUUGAGUACUGGAGGGGCAGACGGAAUUCCUAGUGUAGCGGUGAAAUGCGUAGAUAUUAGGAGGAACACCAGUGGCGAAGGCGGUCUGCUGGACAGCAACUGACGGUGAGGCGCGAAAGCGUGGGGAGCAAACAGGAUUAGAUACCCCGGUAGUC
rnacentral:rRNA from 1 species